rnacentral:sRNA from 1 species
UAAUUCAUAUGUUAGUUGAGGUACAAUUUCAGGCUGGUUAUAUAGAAUCAAUGCUUAGUCUUGGAACAACCCCCCCCCCCAUUUUGUUAUUAAGAAAAAGUCAGGUAAUUGGAGGUUACUACAGGAUUUAAGGGCAAUAACCCAUGCAAUUCAGCCUAUGGGAUCAUUGCAGCCCAGACUCCCUUCCCCACAGCAAUUGCUCUAAACUAUACCUUAAUGGUAAUAGAUCUAAAAGAUUGUUUUUACUCAGUAAGGUUACAUCGUGGUGAUUGUGAAAAAUUUGCUUUCAC